GAUGAACGCUGGCGGCGUGCCUAAUACAUGCAAGUCGAGCGAACAGACGAGGAGCUUGCUCCUCUGACGUUAGCGGCGGACGGGUGAGUAACACGUGGAUAACCUACCUAUAAGACUGGGAUAACUUCGGGAAACCGGAGCUAAUACCGGAUAAUAUAUUGAACCGCAUGGUUCAAUAGUGAAAGACGGUUUUGCUGUCACUUAUAGAUGGAUCCGCGCCGCAUUAGCUAGUUGGUAAGGUAACGGCUUACCAAGGCGACGAUGCGUAGCCGACCUGAGAGAGUGAUCGUCCACACUGGAACUGAGACACGGUCCAGACUCCUACGGGAGGCAGCAGUAGGGAAUCUCCCGCAAUGGGCGAAAGCCUGACGGAGCAACGCCGCGUGGGUGAUGAAGGUCUUCGGAUCGUAAAACUCUGUUAUUAGGGAAGAACAAAUGUGUAAGUAACUAUGCACGUCUUGACGGUACCUAAUCAGAAAGCCACGGCUAACUACGUG
rnacentral:rRNA from 1 species